rnacentral:lncRNA from 1 species
UCAAGCUUUCCUGCCUACCUCAUUCCAUCCUCCUGCGCUCUCAAGCUUUCCUUCCUAGAUUCUGCAUUCCGAUUUCCAUUUCACACAUUCAACGUCAAGGAGUACCAGACAAUGCCUUCUUCUGCUCACGACAAGAGGUACUCAGGACUGUCGAAUGGUGGUGACAAAGAACAAUUGCCAUCUCAAGAAUCAGAAGUUCCUUUGAGUACUAGAUUUGAUGGGAAUGCAAUGCAAGUAGAUGGACUCCUAAAAAAUGUUUCUCCCACAACUAAGAUUGUGGUGAAACCAAAUGAGGAGUUGAAGUCACCGUUCUUGGUAAAGCGCCACCUAUUUCUUAAGAGGCCUGAUCCUAUUAUACUAGACGAAUUGUACAGCUUGACUACAAAAGAAACAAUAAAACCUGAAGGAGUCAUGGGUAUAAAUUGCAUGGACUUGGCUGUUAGAAUUAUGGCAAGACAGGAUGCUGAAAUUUUUAAAAACACAAAAUGUCUAGGUUGGAGGCAUUAUGUUGAUUCAAAUUGGAAGCAAUAUAUCAAUGAUCCCAACAAUCUGAGGAACGAGUAUUCCCGUUUGUCUACUAUGUAUGAUCCUUCAGGUUCACAUCUGGUAUUAAUCCCUGUAUCAUCUGAUGGCCACUGGACUCUAUAUGCUUUCAACAUGAAUGAUAAGAAGCUCUGCAUUCUGGAUUCUCGACGAGAUACCAGUGAAGGCGGUGAUCAGGAUCCAGUGAAGCGUCAUGAGAAAAUCCGAAAAGAAGUCUGCCAUGCUCUUAACGAAACCAUGGAUGUUGAUUUCAAUUUUCUCUCUUGGAAGCAUGAGUUUCCCAAAGUGCCUAGGCAACAGAACAGUUGUGACUGUGGAUUCUUUGUAUUCAAUUUUAUGCGAUUAUGGGAUGGUCAUCGACUGAUUCGGUGGUUUUCAACUGAAACAAAGGAGUUGCGGAAGAACUUUCUAGCAUACAUACUCUCCAGUUUGGAUGAUCAUUCAGUCCUGCCUACUAAUGUCUCUGAGUUGAUCAAAAAGCUCCCUGGGGAAACAAUGAUGAAUGUUGAGCUAUUAGAAGCUGCACGGGAAGGCAACGCAAAUGCAUUUUGUGAACUUGUUAUAGAUCCUGCAAGAAGUAUUAAUCAUGAGCCCUUCAGAUCUGCCUCCUGUUCUUGUCUUCUUUUUCGGAGCACAUCAUCUGGCAGCUAUUGUCUCUGUUUUGAGUGCACAUCCUCACGCAAUUCCGAUCAAGAAAAGAGUCCAAACAAGCAUAAUGCAUUAACACGAUCAGAUGCACCAUCAACAUUUACGAGAGAUACAAGGGACAUGCUACAUGCUAUUCAGGGUGUAACGGUUGAAGGUGACGGGGUGCUCCACAUCGCUGCAAGCUUUGGUGUUUUGGAACCUACGUGCUUGCACGAGGCUGUGCGCCACGGUCACGAAGAUGUUGUGAAAUAUUUGGUUUCGAAAGAUGCAGAUUUGGGGGAUGUCCCGUUGCCGCUGGUGCAGAUAGUGGACAACGAGGGCACUUCUCCGCUCUACUUGGCGACCACAUUACGCAGAGACAGCAUUGUUAAGGUGCUCACAGAAGCAGCGCCAUCAGGCAUGCCUAGAGCCGCGUCCUAUUCUGGGCCUGCAGGGAAAACAGCUUUACAUGCUGCUGUUCUCUUCAGUGCAGAACUGAGUAGAACACUGGUGAAUUGGAACCAUAGUCUCAUUAAGAUCCGGGAUGAAUCUGGGAGCACCCCGCUUCACUAUUUGGCAGACGGGAAGUAUACUACUGAACCCAGUUGCAUUUCUGUUACUGAACUUCUCCUUAAGAAGGAUCCAUCGUCAGGCUACUGUGAAGAUUCAGAGGGCUCAUUGCCCAUACACAUUGCUGCUGCAAAUGGCACGCUUGGCAUCAUUGAUCAGCUGAUAAAAUUGUGUCCUGGCUGUGAGUCAUCAUGCAAUGCUUCUGGCCAGACAAUCCUCCACAUCGCUGUCCAAACGGAAAGCCAUGAUGUGGUGCGAUUUGUUUGUUCGAAUGAAAUGUUCAAAAUGGUUCUGAAUAUGAAGGAUUACGAUGGGAAUACAGCACUCCAUUUGGCUGUACAGAAGGGACAUAACAAGACCUUUGGCAUUUUGAUGGGAUGCAAGAAUGUCUCUUUAAGUAUCAGAAACAGAAAUGGGUAUACGCCUCUUGAUCAUGCCGUACUGAACAAAACAAGCGGACUGACGUAUGCCACAUAUUGGCCAGGUCACCAGCGAUGGGUAUGCAAUAGUUUGCUCGCUGCUGGAGCUGAUUUUGGUACUUUCCGUGCGGACCAUUUGUCCAGCAAGAUCCCAGAACAAGCCAAGGCUGACAGGGAAGCAUUCUCCGACACACUGAGCAAAUCUGCCGCGGUCAUGGCCACAUGCGCGGCUCUGCUUUUCAAUGCGGCGCUUAACAUCUUUCUGAAUGUGCAAGCCAUCUACCACAACAAUAACACCAGCACCAACAACAACAAUGCAACUCAAGGAAGCGAUCAGCUCAAGCAAAUUCAGAAAGUUAAGAAACUCAGUGGAGACUCACUGAGCAUCUCUGCGUGUGCCAUCCUUUUAUUUGCGAUUGCUGGAUUUCCCAUCUUGCCCGGUGUCAUAGGACGCACCUUUGCUCUUAUCUUGGGACUAGGGGUGCUCAUUGGGUCGUCCAUGAUUAGCCUGCAGGCGUUAGCAGCACGGCUUGAUCUAGCCAAGGUUUAUGGCACAGGAAUCGGUGCCUUCUGCGUUAUAUUUUCGCUGUUGUGCGUAACGCUGUGCACCAACCUUUUGCGGAAGAUAGUGCAGCACGCGCGUCCGCUGUGGGCUAGGUGUGGUGCCCGUGGAUUCUUCCGUAGCAUUCUGAAUGUUUGUGCCUUCAUCGAGGUCUUACUGCUGACGUGUCUUGUUAUGAGCUCCACCCUUUUUUUCCUUAAUGGAGAAGUGGAAGGAAAGCGUAUGUACACAAAUGGUCUGAUGGGUGGGGAGCAGUGGGGAUCUAUGCAGCACGCGCGUCCACUGUGGGCUAGGUGUGGUGCCCAUGGAUUCUUCAAUAGCAUUCUGAAUGUGCGCAGAGCUCAGAACUACUCUGCCAUCCCGUUGUUGCAGGUUUGUGCCUUGAUGGAAGUCUUACUGCUGACUUGUAACAAAAUUUUUUUUCCGAUAUCACUACAACUAGUCAGGAGGUGA